rnacentral:lncRNA from 1 species
CUUUGAACUUACUUACACCAGUGGUUUGUAAGGGGCUCUCGUGCCUUUGGCCACAGACUGAAGGCUGCAAUCUCCAUUUUCCUACUUCUGAGGUUUUGGGACUUGGACUGAGCCACUACUGUCUUCCUUGCUCUUAAACUUGCAGACAGCCUGUAGUGGGACUUCACCUUGUGAUCAUGCUGCUGACUAACUUAAUGAACAGAACGGAUUAAAAUGGUGCAAGAGAAAAGGGCAUUUUUACACAAAUGAAGCAUUUUCUGUGUUCCAGUUCAGCUGUUCCAAUGACAUUUGGUGUUCUUCUCAAUGUGAAUUAUACAAGCAAGUUUCUGUAUCCAGACUGACGCAUCAACCAUGAUCUAGCAUUUGCAAGAUGUGUAAUUACUUUGACUUUCAAGAAAACAUCUUCUGAUCUAAGGAACUUCCCAAGAUAUCAAAGCUGGCUGGCUCAGGAAUACUCUCACAGUGAUGGCAGAAGAGCAAAUCUGAAAGUUCAAACACUCAAAUGUGCUUUAGAUUUCUGCAUGCAUCACGUGGGCUAACAACUGGUCGAAGCAAAUCACAUGGCCAAACUAAAAAUUAAAGGCCUGAAAGACAGACAAAGUGCUAUAUUGAAGGUUGCAGAAGAAUACAGAAGUUCUGAAUAGCACAGAAGCUUUCAUAAGCCAGGGAUUAUAAUGACCAACAGAGACUCCACAAAACCAUUUAUUCACAAGAGGAAAUAUGGCACGGAUUGGAUUAGAAGUGGAAAGACUAAUGCAUUUUUGUCCAUAAGGAUUAGAAGACAAAUGGUUCUCUCAGCACUGCAAGUGAGCACAACAAGGAAUCCAAAAGCAUUAUUUGUGUGAAGCAGUUUGUAGAAUUUGUUCCAUUUGUCACUAGAACUAGUGUUUGAAGCUCAGCAAUAGUUGAGGUAUGGUUAAGCCCCAGGGUCAAUGGCCACAUGUUCAGAGCAAUACCUUAGGUUUAAAGCUGAUUCACAACCUGAAAAACACUCAGUGGUAUUGUCUCUGCCAAAUUAUCAAUCAUUAACUUGUGGUGUCUUAAAAAGAGGGUAGAAGAUUACUUGACCAGAAAAUAAUGACAAUAAAAAGGAAAUUAUAUAUAGGGUGUUUAUGUGUUACACGUAUAAUACAUAUUGUGAAUUUUCCCCCAUGAUAACUAUUAAACAUGUUUAGUUAAUAGUUAAAUAUCCAUCUUUGAGGGCUUUUAAAUUUUAUUUAUAUUUAUUUGUUAACUUUGAAGUUGAGACUGCAUGCAAAGGCUGUUCCAUUUCAAGUAAAUAGUGUCUCAGUAGCUGUUUGAUUUACCUUAAAAAGGAAAACAAAAUGACACACCUUCCAACCCAUAGACUUUCAGUGCUCUUUGAAAUACAACAAUAAGUAGAAGAGGAGAAUUUGCAUAGUAUAGUGAUAUGAUUUGGCUGUAUCCCCACCCAAAUCUCAUCUUGAAUUAUGGUUCCUAUUAUCCCCACGUGUUAUGGGAGGGACCAGGUGAAAAUAAUUAAAUAAUCAGAGUAGUUUUCCCCAUCCUGUUCUCAUGAUAGUGAGUUAGUUCUCAUGAGACCUGAUGGUUUUAUAAGGGGCUUCCUGCUUUAUUAGGUGCUCAUUCUUCUCUCUCCUGCCGCCAUGUGAAGAAGGACAUGUUUUCUUCCCCAUCCACCAUAAUUGUAAGUUUCCUGUGUGUUCCCUAACCAUGUGGAAGUGUGAGUCAAUGAAACUUCUACCCUUUA